rnacentral:rRNA from 1 species
CACUCCUACGGGAGGCAGCAGUGGGGAAUAUUGGACAAUGGGCGCAAGCCUGAUCCAGCCAUGCCGCGUGAGUGAUGAAGGCCCUAGGGUUGUAAAGCUCUUUCACCGGAGAAGAUAAUGACGGUAUCCGGAGAAGAAGCCCCGGCUAACUUCGUGCCAGCAGCCGCGGUAAUACGAAGGGGGCUAGCGUUGUUCGGAAUUACUGGGCGUAAAGCGCACGUAGGCGGAUCGAUCAGUCAGGGGUGAAAUCCCAGGGCUCAACCCUGGAACUGCCUUUGAUACUGUCGAUCUGGAGUAUGGAAGAGGUGAGUGGAAUUCCGAGUGUAGAGGUGAAAUUCGUAGAUAUUCGGAGGAACACCAGUGGCGAAGGCGGCUCACUGGUCCAUUACUGACGCUGAGGUGCGAAAGCGUGGGGAGCAAACAGGAUUAGAAACCCCGGUAGUCCCAUGAU